rnacentral:rRNA from 1 species
CAGACGGGUGAGUAACACGUGGUCAACCUUCCCUUUAUGGGGGAUAACUAGCCGAAAGGUUAGCUAAUACCGCAUACGUCUCCGAGGGGCAUCCCUUGGCGAUAAAAGGAGCAAUCCGCUCGAUGACGGGACCGCGUCCCAUUAGCUAGAUGGUGGGGUAAUGGCCUACCAUGGCUCCGAUGGGUAGCUGGUUUGAGAGAGCGACCAAACACACUGGGACUGAGAAACGGCCCAG